AAAAACAAAAAAGAACAUCUCUAUUUUCUUCAAGAUUUUGCCUGUCUCGGUGCGUACGUUACUGAUCUUGUUUCCAAUUUGAUGUAAUUCGGUUGCGUAUCUGCUCGAAUUUUGAUCAAACUUUGGGGAUCAGGCAAUGGAUCAUCGUGGGUAUAUGCUUUGGUUGGCCAGUUCGGUUCAUACCCACAAAAUCAUGUGUCGUCGCUUUCGUUCUACUUCAUUGCUGUGAAAGCGGAUGAUGUGAAGUUUCAACUUCUUGCGCAGUGCUUUCUACGCGCAAUUUCAAACUUUGAAAAACGCAAAUGAAGCUUUUUUUUGUUUUAUUUCUUUUGGCCUCUAAAUCUCAGUACAAUUUCGACGGUGUUCACUUGGCCAGCGAAAAAGUUUUUUUUCCCCC
rnacentral:lncRNA from 1 species